UACGGAGGGGGCGAGCGUUAUUCGGAAUUAUUGGGCGUAAAGGGCGCGUAGGCGGCUGGGCAAGUCAAAGGUGAAAACCCUCGGCUCAACUGAGGAACUGCCUUUGAAACUGCCUGGCUUGAGGCCGGGAGGGGGUAGCGGAAUUCCCAGUGUAGCGGUGAAAUGCGUAGAUAUUGGGAGGAACACCAGUGGCGAAGGCGGCUACCUGGACCGGUUCUGACGCUGAUGCGCGAAAGCGUGGGUAGCAAACAGG
rnacentral:rRNA from 1 species